rnacentral:lncRNA from 1 species
UUUUUUUUUUUUUUUUUUCGGUCUUUUAGGGCCACACCUGUGGCAUAUGGAGACAAAACAAAAGCAUACAUCCAUCACCAAUUUGUCACCUGGUCUCUUGUGUGGUGCAACAUAAAACUAAUUAUCUUGAGUUGUAAUAUCAUGGAGAUAAAAACAGAACCUCACACAAAAAUCCCUUUGAUAAGGAUGUUUUCAAUAUACCCAUACAACCAAAACUUCCCUGUGUGUUUGCUGCCUCAAGGUCAGAAGGCAGGAAAAUGAGGAAGGUAGCUUUGCUGUGACAACAAAUUGAAAUUACAAUGGAGUGAUCACAGUUCAAGUGUAUAAAAAUGAAGUCAGGCAGCCACUAAGGAUCUGGUCUCACACAGGUCUCUCCUCCAUGAGAACCUGAACUUUCUUUGAACUGAACCAGAUCCAAGGAUACCACUAAUCAUAUUUAGAACAAACAGCACCUCCCAGCUGCAACCUUACGGUCUCCCACCUUGUAACUAUGCAACCAUUUUGGAUCCCAUGGGUCCUUGCUUAACAAGCACACUUCCUUCUUGCCAGUCAAUUUCUGAAGAACAAUUUAUGUAACUUCACAGGUGUUCUGUGUUUAUAAGCAACCCCCUAUUUUGUAGGCUGGCAGAACAUAAUUCAAGCGCUUCUUGAAUCUGUCUCUCCUGGGCAGUCCUUACAAACCUCAAAGGAAUACAUUAAAUUUCAAUCAGGUCUCUGUUUCUGAAAAUUUGGUUAACAUAUGCUGAUCAAGUAGAAGGUUUAUAUACCAUCUUACUCCAAAACAGAUGUCAGCUGACUUCACACAUGGAACAUAAUAACCUAUAAUAAAGCAAAAAUAAAAGAAGGGAUGGAAGGUAGAGAAGAUAUGAGAGCUUGGAUACAAAUUCCUGGUCUCCCCUCUUUCAGGGCCCUGAGUGAGAGUGUGUGUUUCAUUUUAAAUUUUUUUAGGGGAGUAGGGGUGAGGGGAAGCAGAGGGAUUUUUGGACAAAGAAAGCACGAAGAGGAACUCCAAAGUUCAGGUAGGUAGAGAGAGCAUUUGAUGAUCCAUUGUUGGGGGUGGGAAUGGGGUUUAUAAAAUGGCCAAGACUUCACUGCUGGGAAGGAAACCCGAGACUCUAGAAACUGGGUCAAAGGCAGCAUCCCCUCAGCUGCUGAGGGGAGCUGGCCAGCCUGGCCGAGUGACACUCCUCAGUGCAUUGGGAGGAAGGGUGUCUACCUGCCCACCUCCACAGUCUGAGGGGUGGCCGUGAACUCAGCUGAUGCAAGGGUGCUGUUCUGCAGCUACGAGGCAGACUAUAGGCAGGUACAGUUGUCCAGACUGCCAGGCAUGCGUGUAACUUCAUUUUUCAGCCUGGCUUCCUAGGAGUUGAAAGGUUAUUGUUCAGCCAGUGGUUGGGUCACAGGCUGUAUCAAAGCCCCUGUCCCAGGGAGGCCUGCACCAUCUGCUGAUGGAUCUGCAUGCAGCUUGGGGAAGAUGCUCAAGUCUGGUCUGCAUGCUGGUCAGGUUGCUCGUGAGUGAGGCUGGCCUAGUCCACUGACCAUAGCCUGGACAGCGAUUCCAGGAGGAUCCUUCUUAGCUGUUUCCUUGACUGACAUUCUGUUGUGCUCUUAACAUCCUGGAGCUGAGUGCCCUCUUAAUUGUUCUCCACCAAGAUCUUCAUUGUUUCUGACAAAGCCCGUAAGUGUGGGAUUCUCUUCUGUUCUGAAUAGAGUCAGCCCCCUCAGCCAGAGCUGCAGACCCCGGGACAGGAUCUCUGUGCCCCUGCACAAGCUGAAGCUAGGGUGGGUGCUGACCCACUUGUCCCAGUGUGAGCCUUGAGCCCCCCAAAUAGCAGCUGGCCCUCCCUGGAGGAUGGGCAGCUAGGGGAACACUGGGCCCUCUGUUCUGCUAGGGCCACACCUGGGGUAGAGCUUAUCCCCUGCAAGCGUGGGAGCAGUGAGGAAGGGAGGUCCUGUCCUCUCUAGUUAGACUGUUAGUCUAGAAUAGGACCUUGCAAUAAACACAGGCUGGAGGGUUGUGCUGAGCUCAGAUGAAGACAGCUUCAAGCAGGAGCCUGGGAGGGUGCCUGCCUCUCAGAGCCCCAGGAGCUUUCUUGAGACAGAGGGGAAGAGAGUGGAUGCGGCUCAAAUGCCUGCUGUUUGGACCAAGAUUUAGUAGGUUUUCUUUUCUUUUCUCUUUCCUCUCCUUUCCUUUUCCCUCCUCCCCUCCCUUCCUGUCUGUCUUUUUAGGGCUGCAACCAAGGCAUAUGGAGUUUCCCAGGCUAGGGGUAGAAUCAGAGAUGUAGCUGCAGGCCUACACCACAGCCACAGCAAUGCCAGAUCCUAGCCGCUCCUGUGACCUACACCAUAGCUCACGGCUAUGCCGGAACCAUAACCCACUAAGCAAGGCUAGGGAUUGAACCAGCAUCCUCAUGGAUACUACUCAGAUUCACUUCCAAAGAGCUAUGAUGGGAAUUCCCAGAUUUUCUUGAAUGAAUGAAUGAUUCUCCAUUUGCUGGAUACCCUUAGAACAUUUUUUUUUAGAAAUGUUAAAUGAUUGUUUUAGAAUCUUCUCCAGUUAAAUGGUUGUUAGUUGGGCAGAGAGUUCAUUCUGGAAAUCAGUCUUCCAAGCUUAAAAGCUUCGGUAAACACAAGAGAAGGAGAUUUUGGUACACCUGUAUGAGGCAGGUGUCCAAACUAUAUACUUAACUCAUAAAGUUUCAUUAUUUUGAGCUGAUUUCUACCCACUUGCCAUGUAGGUAUUGUUUAUUUCACAGAUAAGGUCAUGGAUUCAACAGUCAUGGAAAAUCCUUGGAGCUACUGUGCCAGCAGUUUAGAGCAGGUGCAGAUACAGAGAUCUGACACCAAAAUCUAUGCUCUAAGAAUGGUGCCAGGCACCCAAUCCCAGAUUCAGUGGAGACAGUGAGGAACACAAAAUGAACAAAUAAACAAAGACCUGAGUUUGAAAUCUGACUCUGGUUUCUGUUUCUCCCACCCAAUAUUUUGUAAUCUCCAGUUAUGAUAAUAAUGUGAAAGUAAGACAGCAACUAACAUCUACUGAUUACUUACUAUAAGUACUAAGCAUCUGCAAACAUUAUCUUACUUAAUUCUGAAGGGGAGGAGAUUUUCCAUCCCCAAAUGUCUCUUUGGCAAGUGGAUUAUUUAAAACUGAAAACAAUUAAGGAGCAAAAGGCUCUGGAAGAAACUCUACCUAACCCCUAACUGCCUAAAGAAUUUAGGUAGAGGAAUUGUUCCCAGAAUAGAUGUCUGUGAGAAGGUGGGUUGGGUGGUGAGGGCACUCAAGGCAGGGCCUACAUAUCAGUCUACUCUAUCUACCAUCUCUGUA